rnacentral:rRNA from 1 species
AGAGUUUGAUCCUGGCUCAGGAUGAACGCUAGCGGCAGGCUUAACACAUGCAAGUCGAGGGGCAUCGGGAGGGAAGCUUGCUUUCCUUGCCGGCGACCGGCGCACGGGUGAGUAACACGUAUGCAACCUGCCCUCUUCAGGGGGACAACCUUCCGAAAGGGAGGCUAAUCCCGCGUAUAUCGGUUUCGGGCAUCCGAGAUCGAGGAAAGAUUCAUCGGAAGAGGAUGGGCAUGCGGCGCAUUAGCUUGACGGCGGGGUAACGGCCCACCGUGGCGACGAUGCGUAGGGGUUCUGAGAGGAAGGUCCCCCACACUGGUACUGAGACACGGACCAGACUCCUACGGGAGGCAGCAGUGAGGAAUAUUGGUCAAUGGGAGAGAUCCUGAACCAGUCAAGCCGCGUGAGGGAAGACGGCCCUAUGGGUUGUAAACCUCUUUUGUCGGAGAACAAAACCCGGGACGUGUCCCGGACUGCGUGUAUCCGAAGAAAAAGCAUCGGCUAACUCCGUG